rnacentral:rRNA from 1 species
UACGGAGGGGGCAAGCGUUGUUCGGAAUUACUGGGCGUAAAGCGCACGUAGGCGGCUUUGUAAGUUAGAGGUGAAAGCCCAGGGCUUAACUCUGGAAUUGCCUUUAAGACUGCAUCGCUAGAAUCGUGGAGAGGUGAGUGGAAUUCCGAGUGUAGAGGUGAAAUUCGUAGAUAUUCGGAAGAACACCAGUGGCGAAGGCGACUCACUGGACAAGUAUUGACGCUGAGGUGCGAAAGCGUGGGGAGCAAACAGG